rnacentral:rRNA from 1 species
UACGUAGGGGGCAAGCGUUGUCCGGAUUUAUUGGGCGUAAAGAGCGUGUAGGCGGCCAUGCAGGUCCGUUGUGAAAACUCGAGGCUCAACCUCGAGACGCCGGUGGAAACCGUGUGGCUAGAGUCCGGAAGAGGAGAGUGGAAUUCCUGGUGUAGCGGUGAAAUGCGCAGAUAUCGGGAGGAACACCGGUGGCGAAGGCGGCGACCUGGUCCGAUACUGACGCUGAGGCGCGAAAGCGUGGGGAGCAAACAGG